CAAGCGUUGUUCGGACUUACUGGGCGUAAAGGGCUCGUAGGUGGCCAACUAAGUCAGACGUGAAAUCCCUCGGCUUAACCGGGGAACUGCGUCUGAUACUGGAUGGCUUGAGUUUGGGAGAGGGAUGCGGAAUUCCAGGUGUAGCGGUGAAAUGCGUAGAUAUCUGGAGGAACACCGGUGGCGAAGGCGGCAUCCUGGACCAACACUGACACUGAGGAGCGAAAGCCAGGGGAGCAAACGGG
rnacentral:rRNA from 1 species